ensembl:antisense Gm4285 predicted gene 4285
GUCAGCAGAAUCGGAUGACUGUUGUCGGGCGCGCCGCUGAGCCUGCGGGGACUACGGGGAUGGCGCCGGGCUGGUGUCCCGGGUCUCCGACCUCCGGUCCUUGGCUGCCCACAGACUGCACCGGUUUUGCUCGCGGAGGGAGAUGUCCUGGGGACUGGUCCUCUAGUGGGUUCCGAAAGUGAAAGCCUGCGGACUAAACAGACCCAAAAUAAGGAGCUUCCCACUUGCCCGGGUCACUUGAAGGGCUUUCGCAUCCACCACGAAGUACAACAUACAACUUCCGAGACCCACCGUUCAGGGUUUCUCUGUAUAGUCCUGGCUGUCCUGGAACUCACUUUAUAGACCAGACUGGCCUUGAACUCAGAAAUCCGCCUGCCUCUGCCUCCCAAGUGCUGGGAUUAAAGAUGUGCACCACCACCGUCCGGCUCAUUGAAGAAUUAAAAAACAAAACAAAAAAAAAAAACAAAAAAAAACAAAACCAUGGUGAAAGAGAGCUGAAGAUUUGAAGCUAAGCAGUGCUGGCAUCUUGUCUGUGUUACCAGUCCCACGAUCUCAGGAAGUUCACCCUCUUUGAGCUUUAGUAUGAAAUGGAAUUUCUGUGAAUUUAAUAAGAUGAGUGAGAGGCUGACAUACUUAACAGGUGAUAAAUAAUAUGUGGGAUAUGUAUGCAAUUCCCGAUUUUUUUUCAUAAUAUUCCUGAAGUUAUUACUGUCAGGUCCAAAAGCCUUUUGUUCAGUUAACCUCUCCUCUCACCUCCUCUGCUUGCAUAGCCCAAACCAGUCUUGAACUGAUUUCGGAGGCCAGACAGGCCUGGAAAUCAAAAUUCUCCUGCCUUAGCUUCAAUAGGGCUAGGAUUACAGGUGUGAGCCAACCAUUCUUAUCUCAGAAUACCAUU